rnacentral:rRNA from 1 species
UGGGGAAUAUUGGACAAUGGGGGAAACCCUGAUCCAGCGACGCCGCGUGGGUGAUGAAGGCCUUCGGGUCGUAAAGCCCUGUCUGGGGAGACGAACCUCUCGUCGACGAAUAAUCGACGGGACUGACGGUAUCCCCGAAGGAAGCACCGGCUAACUCUGUGCCAGCAGCCGCGGUAAUACGGAGGGGGCGAGCGUUAUUCGGAAUUAGUGGGCGUAAAGGGCGCGUAGGCGGCUUGGUAAGUCAAAGGUGAAAUCCCUCGGCCUAACCGAGGAACUGCCUUUGAUACUGCCUCGCUCGAGGCCGGGAGGGGGUAGCGGAAUUCCCAGUGUAGCGGUGAAAUGCGUAGAUAUUGGGAGGAACACCGGUGGCGAAGGCGGCUACCUGGACCGGUUCUGACGCUGAGGCGCGAAAGCGUGGGGAGCAA